AGAAAAAGUGGGAAAUUUUAAGGGAAAACUUUGGAUAGCAUGCCAAUUUCGACUUCUUAAAAGUUGAUUUGGAAAUAUGUACUUAUAUAUAUACAUGUAUAUCGAUCAGAUAGGCAAUUAACCAAAGUAGUCUUGUUCCUACUGCUGCCGCUGCUUAUGAUGGUGCUGCACAAGGAGGAGGAGAAGGAGCAGAGCAGCGGCAGCAACUCUCUCUCUACAAGUAUUAUUCCCACUGCUGCUGGAGAAGGAGAAGAUGCUGCUGCUUCACACAAUCAGACUACCGAUCACCGUAACUCUGACGCCAGCCAUGACCAGAAACUGAGGACCACAGAAGAAAAUAGGCAAUCUUCCAUUGAAAUGGGAGAGUCCAACGGCAACGGCAACGGCAACGGUGCUGAAUUUGUUUCAGUUGGUGAAGUACAUUCCCCUAGGCCUCGGGUAGACAACUUCAAAAAACUCUCACUUCUGCCUCUUGUCUUCAUCAUCUUCUAUGAGGUAUCUGGGGGUCCAUUUGGGGUUGAGGAUAGCGUCCAGGCCGCUGGUCCGCUUCUAGCCCUCGUCGGGUUCUUGGUCUUUCCACUCAUUUGGAGUGUUCCGGAGGCCUUAAUUACCGCGGAGAUGGGUACCAUGUUCCCUGAGGCUGGGGGUUAUGUUGUUUGGGUUUCGUCGGCUUUGGGUCCCUACUGGGGGUUUCAGCAGGGUUGGAUGAAAUGGCUAAGCGGGGUUAUUGACAAUGCUUUGUAUCCGGUUCUGUUUCUGGACUAUUUGAAGUCGGCAAUUCCAGCGUUAGAUGGUGGCGUUCCAAGAGUUGCAGCGGUCUUAGUUUUGACAUUGUUGCUCACUUACAUGAACUAUAGGGGUCUAACCAUUGUGGGUUGGGUUGCUGUUCUUUUAGGAAUUUUCUCAAUCGUUCCUUUUGUGGUUAUGGGACUCGUGGCAAUCCCCAAGCUGAAGCCUUCGAGAUGGCUAGUCGUAAAUCUACACAAUGUGGAUUGGAAUUUAUAUCUGAACACUCUCUUUUGGAAUCUAAACUAUUGGGACUCGAUAAGUACACUUGCCGGAGAGGUAGAAAACCCAAAGAAAAUUCUCCCAAAGGCUCUGUUUUAUGCUUUGAUAUUAGUUGUUCUUGGAUAUUUCUUCCCGCUCUUAAUGGGUACUGGGGCUGUUCCACUCGACCGUGAGUUGUGGACAGAUGGAUAUUUCUCAGAUAUCGCUAAACUUAUUGGGGGAGUUUGGUUGAGAUGGUGGAUCCAAGCGGCUGCAGCAGUGUCGAAUAUGGGGAUGUUUGUUGCUGAAAUGAGCAGCGACUCCUUCCAACUUCUUGGGAUGGCAGAACGAGGGAUGCUCCCUAAGUUUUUUGGUAAGCGGUCUCGUCAUGGAACCCCAGUGAUUGGCAUUUUGUUCUCAGCUUCUGGAGUCCUUUUGCUAUCUUGGUUGAGCUUCCAAGAGAUUGUAGCUGCAGAAAACUUCUUAUACUGUUUUGGAAUGAUUUUGGAGUUUAUAUCAUUCAUACGGUUAAGGGUGAAGUACCCAGCUACAUCUCGUCCUUACAAGAUACCCGUUGGAACAGUUGGAGCCAUUCUUAUGUGUAUUCCUCCAACCAUACUGAUUUGUGUAGUUUUGGCUCUUUCGACACUUAAGAUCGUGGUUGUGAGCCUUGUCGCUAUAUUGAUCGGCCUUGUGAUGCAGCCCUGUCUCACUUACGUCGAGAGAAAGAGGUGGAUGAAGUUCUCCGUCAGUGCUGACCUCCCAGAUCUUCACGGUGCUAAUCAGGAGGGUGUUGGCUCCAUAAGACAUUAAUCCAGAGCCAGGCAUGCCAACAAGUGUUGGAUGAAGCAGAUAAGGAAUACAAGAAGAUGACCCAAAGGAUUACUGAAAGUCGGGAAGCAAUGGCGGUAUAUUAAUCUAGUCUUUCUUUGUUUCGUUUACUUACUUCUGAUUGUAUGUUUGUAGUGCUUAUUCAUCAAGUGCAUCCUACUGCUUUUUUAUCAGGCUUCAUAUGCAGAGUUCAUGGCAGAUGCACAGACCACCACUUCUCGUGGUUGCAAAACAUGAAUCGCUGAGCUUUCGCAGUCCUUUGAGAAACAAAUUGAUGCUUUUCGCAGCCGUUAUGGCAUUUCAACAAAUUAGCAAUCAAUUGUCCAUGCAAUAUUAUCUACUGAAAACCUUAGGCAUGUAUAGUGGUGACGAUAGCAAUCGAGACUCCGACGAAUCUUGAACAAGAACGACUGAUUGGAUCAAAAGGGAUUUGAAACCAUA